rnacentral:lncRNA from 1 species
GGUUGCACACGGAUAUGGCAUCAUGGAAAAAGAAGCAUCUGCAGCCAUUCAAAUUUCCAUCCUGGCUUCACGGCCCAAAAGCUUGACCACACACUGCAGCACAUUGGAGAGGAGGUGCAUAAUGGAGAGUUGCAGCAAGGAGCCCAAAGCAACAACACAUUGUUUAAAUUAGGGCGUUGCUGCCUGCACCUCUCCACUUCCAC